GGGGCGGGGCUUCCUCCACUUGGUCCAGGUCCCGGGGCUCCGGGUGGCCGCAGCCCUCAAGGUUGUGGAGGGUUUCCGCGAGCCGCUGAGCCCGCGGCUGAGGGUUAAGGAUUUUUUUCUUCGUUUACAAGGAACAGUGAUUAGCGCUUCAUAAGUUAUUUCGCAGUUCUGCGUCUCAGCUUUUCCAUCUGAAAAGACUCGCCUUUAAAUUGCUGAGUGUUGCUGUGGCUGUGGUCUUGUCUGGCAGCUCAGAUUCGACCCCUACCCGGGAACUUCCAUAUGCCGCAGACGCGGCCCUAAAAAGACAGGGGGGAAAAAAAAAGAUUGCUGAGAGGAUUGGGUAUCGGUAUCUAUGUCUGGGACACUUAGAAAGCCCUCUGUGUGUUUGCUAUUGUUUAUUAUUGCCGCCUACCCUUCCCCCGCGUUUGCCAGGCGCCGCGCGCAGUUCUGAGGAAUGAAGAUGCCCGAAAGAAAUCGGCAUUUAUUGAGUUCCAAGUGAGCCCCUUGGACGAAACAGCGGUAAAAGCGGAUUUCAGUAAGCGCUGAAACUGAGCCUCAGACGUUGAUGACUUGCUGAGGGCCACCCAACUAAGUGAAGCCUCCCGACUUCAGAUCCUGCACUCCAAGCCAUCGUGCUGCAAAGGUCCCAGCACACAUCGUGUGGGGUCCCACCUAACGCUUGGUGAGGGCAUCCCAACCCCGCCUCCUCCGUCCUGGAACACCUCUGUCACUACCUCUUCCUCAAGGUCCAGUCCAGAAAAUGUUCCCUGACAGUCCUACUCUUCUUUCUGGUUGGGCAAUGAUAAAACCCCGCUAAGGUUUAUGGAGAUCUCACUAGCCACAUGUGCAGCACAUGGACACUUCCAGGCUAAGGGACCAACUGGAGCUGCAGCUCCCAGCGUACACCACAGCCACAGCAAUGAGGAAAUCUGAGCCAUGUCUGCAACCUAUACCAUGGCUCACAGCAAGGCUGAAUGCUACCCCCACUGAGUGAGGCCAGGGAUCAAACUAGUAUCCCCUAGACACAAUGUCAUCUUCUUAACCCACUGAGCCACAGUGGUAAUUCCCAUUUUGACUGAUGAGCCAAAGAGUUUUCCUUUUUCCUGUACUAAGUCAUCCCUAUUGGCUGAUCGAAACAUUUAGCAUUUUUUGAUGACCUCUCUCUCCUGCUUGAGAACUAAACUACUGAUUUCCCCCCCUUCUCUCCCUCCUGGAAAAGUAGCGGAGGGAAUUUCCUCAAGAUUGAACCCACUUUUACUCCCCUUAGAAACGGCUUUCACAUCUGCAAGUCUUACCUUCUGAAUCCACAGGGUUCUCCAGAGUUUUGGUUCUUAAAUCUUCAAAGGCCACCUAGAUGCUUCCAGCUGGUUGUCACUGUGACCUAAAGCAACAUCUCUAAAUCAGGAGUUUUACAUUUAUCUUUCUGUUUUUAUUUCACCUCUCAAAAAUACCUAGUUUCUAAAGUUCCUUGGCGGCCCAGCGGUUAGGGAUUCAGCAUUGUCACUGCUGUGGCAUGGGUUCGAUCUCAGGCUCAGGAACUUCUGCAAGCUCUGGGCACAGCUAAAAAAAAAAAAACAACAACAAAAAACACCUUAUAAAAAUACCUUGUUUCUUAAAUGUCCUGUUACUGUGAGGGUCAUUCAUUUCACAGUGGUGCACAGGGAAUGCCAAGCACUGUACGAGGUGCUGGGAUAGCAAGGCCAGCUGAUGAGGCUGGAGUGGAGAGGGCACAGGAGAGAUAAGAGGGAGGUGAAUUUGGAGAAGCCAAUGGAAGCCAGACCAUGAGAAGGUGGUAGGAAAUAAGGAUAUUUGGGGGGUUCUUC